CCGGCUUUGUCACUCACCAAUUGGACGAUGGAUGUGCCUUGACAGCAUAGAGCCACUCAAAUCCCUGAUCCAUGACACGACAAGGCUCAAAACGAUCAAUCAUACAUGUCACAACUACAAUAUUCCAUUUAACUGGUUGAACUGUUUUGACAUGGCAAGAGAGAAGUCCGAGAUCAUACCCGCACCACCCAAGUUUGAAAGAGUGUGAGGUGACGAUGUUGAUGUUUUAGAUUGGGAUGGCUGCAUUUCACCUGUGGCCAUAAGCCGAGAUUUGAAACUGAAAUUGUGCAAAGAGAAGAACUGGAGAUGGUGGAUGAAGAUUUGCGACAGGAGUUGGAUGUGAUCACAGGUGGAAGAAUGCACCAUAGUUGAAGCUUUCCUCCUUGCAACAUCAUUCCCCCCCACCCCAUGAUAGAAUGGUUCGGUAGUUCGCUUGGUUAGAAUACUCUAUGUAUCUUGAUUUGAGCUUU
rnacentral:lncRNA from 1 species